CCUACGGGAGGCAGCAGUGGGGGAUAUUGCACAAUGGGGGGAACCCUGAUGCAGCGACGCCGCGUGAGCGAAGAAGUACCUCGGUAUGUAAAGCUCUAUCAGCAGGGAAGAAAAUGACGGUACCUGACUAAGAAGCCCCGGCUAAAUACGUGCCAGCAGCCGCGGUAAUACGUAUGGGGCAAGCGUUAUCCGGAUUUACUGGGUGUAAAGGGAGCGUAGCCGGCAGUGCAAGUCUGGAGUGAAAGGCGGGGGCUCAACCCCCGGACUGCUCUGGAAACUGUACGGCUGGAGUGCAGGAGAGGUACGUGGUAUUCCUAGUGUAGCGGUGCAAUGCGUAGAUAUUAGGAGGAACCCCAGUGGCGAAGGCGGCUUACUGGACUGUAACUGCCGUUGAGGCUCGAAAGCGUGGGGAGCACACAGGAUUAGAUACCCGAGUAGUC
rnacentral:rRNA from 1 species